rnacentral:lncRNA from 1 species
CCAAGGACCAAGUCUAUGGAGGUGCAAGUCCCUCAUAUGAGAUCCUGUGGAUUCUAAUUUUUCUACCAAAAGAACAUACAUUGGCUUUGUGAUCACAGCGUGACCUAUCCUGAACAAGGGGCAGUUCCACAGGCUGGAGUGAGGAGGCCUGAGCUGAGCACUAUGGUUAGACCGUGUCUCCCCUUCACCCCUCAAUGCUCACGUGUGGAAAACUUAAGGUUUCUGCUUGCACAGGACAUGGCUGAAGGAGCCCUGCAGAUGAGGAGUCGGCCUGAUAUCAGAAUGUAGAGAGACUCUCUUGUACUGAGUAGAAGCAUCACCUGUCAAUAAAAAAGGCCUAUGGCCAAUGAGAUAAGACAGGGAAUAGGAGGUCACAUCUGAGGAUUCCACACUGUAACCCGGAAAUGAAAAGGAGGAAAUGGGACAGAUCAAAGAGCAUCUUUACCGAGCCAAGGCGUUAUAAUUCAGUAAUGGCAAUCUAAUGGGAGGCUGGCAAAAGCAAACUCAAGCAGAGAUCAGUGUCAAAAAGAUUCAACACUUCAACAGUCCGAGUGCAUGCCAGGGACUCACAAACUGUAGCGUGUGGCACGAGCCCCUGGCGGUGCUGUCAACAACACAGCAGG